rnacentral:lncRNA from 1 species
GGGGACUCUCCCUGAGGUCACCAGGGGCUCCGCCUUGAGGUCACAGCCGCGGGAGGCCGUGCUCGUGCUUUGGAGCUCCACGUGAUGUGGUCGGUGGAAGACGUCUCCUUUGUCAGAAUCUGCGCUCAGAUUCCCGGAAUAGCUGCCAGACCGACCCCAGCGUUGAGCCCGGGAAGGGAAGAGUUUUCGCUGUUGUUGACCAGGCUGGAGUGCAAUGGUGCAAUCUCGGCUCACCACAACCUCUGCCUCCCGGGUUCAAGUGAUUCUCCUGCCUCAGCCUACGGAGUAGCUGGGAUUACAGGCAUGUGCCACCACACCCGGCUAAUUUUGUAAAUAUUUAACCUUUUGUCUGUAGCUAUCUGCUUAGGAACAAAAGGAAAGGCAGCUUCUU